AGUUUUCAUUCGAAUGCCCACAUUCAAAGGCAAGGGUGUAUAAGUCACUGCUUCGUGUAAACUUGCGUGCUUUCAUAUCGAACUGCAGUGAACUAUACUAGACCCAUACCCGGGACUGGAGUAGAAUCAUGGCGGAUGGGACGGUUGGUUAUGAUAACGAAGCCUAUGUCGGAGACGGUGAUGGCAGCGGAAAGGCAAAGAAAUACCAACAGGGCGAUCACGCUGACAGCCACCGAAUGACGAAGUACGAUAAAGCGGUUCUGUUUGGAAUUAUCAUUGUAUUGGUGGCUGUUGUCGCAAUAACGCUGAUAUUUGCUGUGGACUGGACAAAUGGCGAUGACGGGAAUAUGGAUAGCCGGCAACAAGGAAGCACAAUACCGCCAACGACUCAGAUGGCAGCGGACAUGACUACAGCUGAGAGACCGCCUUGUGGGGACCUCGGUAAACCACCCCACAUUGUAUUGGUUCUGGCUGACGACGUUGGUUGGAAUGAUGUUGGCUGGAAUAACGACUUCAUGCCAACUCCUAUAUUAAAUGAAUUAGCAAGCAACGGCGUCAUUCUUAACAACACCUACUCCCAGCCUGCGUGUUCACCGUCGAGAGCAGCACUGCUAACUGGUAAAUAUCCAGCAAACGCCGGCAUACAGCAUUUGGUGGUACAGGAACAACACCCCUACUAUUUGCCACUGCACAACACUCUACUAUCUACUAAACUCAAGGAGCUGGGGUACAUGAAUCACGCGAUUGGCAAGUGGCACCUUGGAUUCUGUAACUGGAAAUAUACGCCAUUGUGGCGUGGAUUCGACUCGUUUUAUGGAAUAUUUAAUGGGUACCUGUCAGACUACAGUACACACAUUGUGCAUUCACCAUUCAUCGGCGAACCAGGUGCUUCCGGCCUAGACCUACGAGAUAAUACAGGAGUCGUGGCACACGAAAACGGCACUCACGUCACCUACUUAUUCACUGAAAGAGCCGAGAGGAUUAUUCGGAAUCAUAACCCGGCGGCACCAUUGUUCCUGUACACGGCGUUGCUAGUACCACACGGCCCACUGGAUGCUCCUCCGGGUUUUGAAAACUCCGUGGAAGUAAACGAUACGAGAAGACGCGAAUAUGCGGGCAUGAUAUCCGCAAUGGACGAAGCCGUAGGAAACAUCACGAAUGCUUUAAAAGACAAGGGGAUGUGGAAUGACACAUUGUUUAUAUUUCUGAGUGAUAACGGUGGGGAUAUGUUCUAUGCCGGAAAUAACUAUCCCUUUAGAGGAAACAAGGCCUCGCUCUGGGAAGGAAGUGUCAAAAUACCCGGAUUUAUCUACGGUAACAUGCUGGAAAAGAAAGGUUAUUCCAAUAACGAAUUGAUUCAUUUUACAGAUUUGUUUGCAACAUUGCUGAGUGCGGCAGGCGGAACACCGGAUGAUGACAUAGAUGGUAUCAACCAAUGGGACACUGUUUGUCGGGGUGACGCCUCUAAGCGGUCGGAAAUCCUCCUACAUCUUGACACGUUUGAAGCAACUAGGGGAGCUGCACUGAGGAUGAAUGACUAUAAAUACAUAGAGGGCAUCACUGAACUUGUUCCGCAGCGAGUUGAAGCUCACGAAAGAUUUCAUUUGGAUCAAUGGUAUGUUCCUGCCGAACACCCAGAUGCCCCUAUACCAGAUGCACCGCUGAUAUCACAAAAUGUUAACAAUACAUUCCUGUUCAACCUUAGAGAUGACCCACUAGAGACUACCAACCUUGCUACCGAUCCUGAAAUGCAGGACAUUUUAGAGGAAAUGCAGGCACGCCUACAAUAUUACAAAGACAACGCAGCCCCGUUAUGGUAUCCUGAAAAUAUAGAUGAAAGUGACCCUAAGUACUUUGAUGGUGCUUGGACACCGGGAUGGUGUUAGGGCUUCAUCGAAAUAGACGUGUCAGAAUCAUAUUGAGUUGUCGUUGGCUUAUGACAUGAAUUAGCAUACCACCAACCAAACAAUUACAUAUCACUAGCAGAAAGUUUGUAUACCACCAGAAAAUCACAAUGCUGAUAUUGCUCAUUAUGUACACACCCCAAGGAAAGAAACUUUGUUAUGCAUUCUUUCAGUAAAAUACUCCUUGAUAAUGUUCCAAAAUACGCCAUUAUGAACACGUCUAUUGUGCAAACGUGCUUCAUAAUUACACGGCGCUAAAUAAGAAAGACUUGUAUCAUAAAAACACGAUUUCUUGACGAGAUUUAAACAUCCCUGGUGUAUCUUACUAGUCAGUAAUUGUUUGACAGUGUCUGCAGACGUACAAUACUAUUUUCAGGGAAAGACUAUUACUGAUGAAGUCGAGACCGUCUUCCUAUAUCGCCACGUCUUAUAAAAGCACUCAACUUUAUCAUAAUAUCACGUCAUCUGACUAACCUUGGGUUUUCACUUUUAACUAUCUACACGGGAUGAAUUUUUUAACAGUUUUUUUAAUUCAUUUCAUAUGUUUUAUCUAUGCUAAGUAUCUGUUCAUGUAUAUUUUACAAUACUAAUUUACACUUGUCUUUUAAAAUAAAUCUUGACCAAUAAUAACAAUAUCUUGUAAUUUAAAAUGAGUUCCAGAGAUGUGACCGUAUUCCACUGAUGAUAUAGACACAC